rnacentral:rRNA from 1 species
CAGUCGCCGCGGGAAUACAGAGGGUGCGAGCGUUAAUCGGAUUUACUGGGCGUAAAGCGUGCGUAGGCGGCUUUUUAAGUCGGAUGUGAAAUCCCUGAGCUUAACUUAGGAAUUGCAUUCGAUACUGGGAAGCUAGAGUAUGGGAGAGGAUGGUAGAAUUCCAGGUGUAGCGGUGAAAUGCGUAGAGAUCUGGAGGAAUACCGGUGGCGAAGGCGGCCCCCUGGACAAAGACUGACGCUCAGGUGCGAAAGCGUGGGGAGCAAACAGGAUUAGAGACCCCUGUAGUCCCUGUCUCUUAUAC